AAUAAAUGUGUGAUAAAUGUGUAAAUGUGAUCCAUACAGGUGCAAAGAAAAGCAGCUGAAGUGGAGAAAUGUUUGAUGCUUCAAGACUCUGAAGCUGAUUUUAUUAGGUCCACCCAGUGGCUUUUGACUAUUUGAGGGUAAGAUGGUUGUGAAUUCAUACCUCAACUUUGUAGCUGGAUUUACAGUCUGGCGUCCCGGGAGCAGGCAUCUUUUGCACAGAUCUAUCUAUCAAAAUACUUCAAACUUUUUCAAGCCAACUUCAAAGUUGAUCUAGUUUAGAUUAGUCUUUUUUUAUUUUAUCAGAACAGAAGCACUUCUCUUAUGGAGGCCACACGAGAAAUAAAGAUGACAAUUGAGGUGUUGAAGGCUUUCAAGAUCACCCCAGGGAAGUCAAUGGAGAAAGCAGCGGAAGCUGUUAAAGUAGGAGAAUUCAAACAAGUGCCCUUACGUUCAAGCAAGGAAAAUGUAAAUAGAUUCCUAUCGCCUUCAAGUCAGGAGCCUCUCUGAGGUACUUUUCAUUGACAUUAAUGGCCCCCCUCUCAAGAUGUUUGACGCUUACCCGUAUAUUCAGUCUUGGCUUAGGGAGAAGAGCUUUGACACAAUUCGAACACUGUAUAAGUCCUAGUAUUAACGUUAUGCUGUAUUAAUAAAAUAAGGGAUAAAUGAUGAGUUAAAUCCCGUUUAAAAACCUGCUAUCAGAUGCUUCAUUAGUGGCUGGGUUUCUCGACAACGAUUGAUCUGAGAGUUUAAGAGCAUUUUCUGAGUCAUUUUACGAUCUUUCGUUAUUGAUUCACGUGUGUUUCCCAGAAAUGCACUUAACACAAUCUUAGGUAUCUGUGCUUUAAGAGCUGCUUAGAGUCGCUGUCCGUUUGUCAAGUGCUGAAAUCUCAUCUUAUAGAGUGACUCGUGAUUGUAGCACACGCUCGUUUACUGAAAUGUUCAUCUAAUGCUGUGUUCAGACUCUGUCAGCAGAUUGUCAUUUGACUGACAGCUUCUGAUCAAUGUGGAAGCAGCCAAAUAUCUCCAAAUGAAAGAAAACUCGGGUUUAUCUUUGCAACAAUACCCUUCACAAGGUGUUCAGAUGAAGAAAAAAAGAGGAUAAAACUCCAGAAGAAGGACACAGAUUCAGUUCACAUUAAGAGGAGCAUCCAGCAGGACACACAGAAGAU